CCUGCGGCCGGGCUCGGCAUCUCUCCUCAGCUGCAAAAUGAGGGAUUUGGGAAAAUGUUCUCGAGAGAGGAUGAUCUCUGAUGUUUGAUCUUUGUCUGCUUUCAAGCCUGGUCAACAAGAAGGGAGAUUUAAUUCGUGAAACAGUCACGGAAUCAAUUAGGUUGGAAAAGACCUCUGAGACCAUCAAGCCCAAGCUGUGACUGAACACUACGGUGUCAAAAAGACCAUGGCAUUGAGUACCAUGCCCAGUCUUUCCAUAAACAUCUUCAGGGACAGUGACUCCACCGCCUCCCUGGGCAUCCCAUUCCAAUUGUCUAAGCACCGUUUCUGUGAAGAAAUUCUUCCUAAUGUUCAGCAUAAACCUCCUGUGGUGCAGGUUAAGACUGUAAAAUAGCAGCUAACAAGCAAACUCUGACUGAUGUCCACGUGUUAGGAAGAUAAAUUACUUAUUGGUAGAAUUGUCUUUUUAAGGUUUAGGGCUGGAUAUGUUUUGAUGGUCUCACCUGGGGGAGACCUAACAAAGCUUAGGGAGAAGGAUGCCCAUUGAUACUGAAUACAAAGGAUGCAGAAUUUAGGGGCAGUUCAAGGGUUUGUCCCAAGGAUGAAUCAAGCCGUCCUGCCCUCCUCAUGCAUUGCUCCCAGUCCCCCGUCUGCAAGCUCUGGGCUGAAGGGUAGGAUCUGUGCUGAUGGAACCUCCACACUGAGCUGCACUACAAGCUUUAGUUUGAUGCUUUCACCAAAACAUCAGCAUUUAAACUGAGCUCCCAGCCCACAUCAUCCCAUUGGGAGUGCAGGUGGAGUGAGCCGUGCUCCCAUCUCUGGAGUAGGAGGAUUGUGUCAUGCAGCAUGAAGAGGCAUGGCACUGGCUGAGCUCCUGUUCAUACCAAGGCUGUGCAUUUCGAAAUGGGACAUGCAGCUCAGGUGUUCAUGGCAUAUCAGCCAGAAGAAAGCCUUAUAAAACAAUUUCAGGAAGAGAGAGUUACAAGUGAUUACAUUCUUUGAAAUGUGAUCAGAGAUCUGGUCUAAAGGUCUCAGGAGUUUUACUCCCUUACUUCAGGAGAGCAAAUGUUUGAUUUCAUCACUUAUCAGGACUAUGGAAAUAAACUGUGGAAUGCAAACCAGAGAGAGAGUCCCCCCCGAUUUCUUUGCUCGCUUGAUAGACUUGAAUUCUUGAAGAAAAUCAGUGAACCCCACAAACAUAUGCUGGCUCGAAACCUGAGUGAAGAGAAACCUCAUCACUGAGCUAGCCAGGCCACUCUUGGGAGGUCUGAGUCAGGUAAGCACAUUCU